GGCUGGUCCAAGUACAGUGGAGUUUGCAACUAAUUGAUCACAACAAGUUACAGACUUUGUUUCUUCUCCACUCCCACUGGUCUUCACUUGACCAGUCUUUA
rnacentral:Y_RNA from 1 species